rnacentral:tRNA from 1 species
GCGUUGGUAGUUCAGUGGUAGAAUCUCGGCCUUCCAAGCCGAUGACCUGGGUUCAAAUCCCAGCCAGCGCA